rnacentral:rRNA from 1 species
UACAGAGGUCUCAAGCGUUGUUCGGAUUCAUUGGGCGUAAAGGGUGCGUAGGCGGCGCGGUAAGUCGGGUGUGAAAUCUCGGGGCUUAACUCCGAAACUGCAUUCGAUACUGCCGUGCUUGAGGACUGGAGAGGAGACUGGAAUUUACGGUGUAGCGGUGAAAUGCGUAGAUAUCGAGAGGAACACUCGUGGCGAAAGCGAGUUACUGGACAAUGACUGACGCUGAGGCUCGAAGGCUAGGGGAGCAAAAGGG